AAUGAACGUUGGCGGCGUGGAUUAGGCAUGCAAGUCGUGCGGAAAGGCUCCUUCGGGAGUACUCGAGCGGCGAAAGGGAGAGUAACGCGUGGAUAUCUACCCCCUGGACUGGGACAGCGGCGGGAAACUGCCGGUAAUACCAGAUAAUGUCUGCGGACCAAAGGUGUGAUUCCGCCGGGGGAUGAGUCCGCGUCCUAUUAGCUAGUUGGUGGGGUAACGGCCUACCAAGGCAAAGAUGGGUACCGGGUGUGAGAGCAUGGCCCGGCUCACUGGGAUUGAGACACGGCCCAGACACCUACGGGUGGCUGCAGUCGAGAAUCUUCGGCAAUGGGCGCAAGCCUGACCGAGCGACGCCGCGUGCGGGAUGAAGGCCUUCGGGUUGUAAACCGCUGUCAGAGGGGAGGAAAUGCGUGGGAGUUCUCUCUUACGUUUGACCUAUCCUCAGAGGAAGUACGGGCUAAGUUUGUGCCAGCAGCCGCGGUAACAC
rnacentral:rRNA from 1 species